CACUCGCGACGCCAAGAGCCAAACCGCCUCUUUCCCAAAAGGCCAAAACCGCCCACCUCCUCUCCUCUCGCCGCCGCCGCCGCCGCCGCCGUUGCCGCCGAUGGGCUCCGAGGAGGAGCCGUCGCAGAUGCGGAGGGCGCUGGUGGACGCGCUCGCGGGGGCCAUCUCCGGCGGCAUCUCCCGCACCGUCACCUCCCCCCUCGACGUCAUCAAAAUCCGCUUCCAGGUUCAAUUGGAGCCCACAACCACUUGGGGUGUACUUCGAAGGGAUGUCUAUGGCCCUUCCAAAUACACUGGACUUCUGCAAGCAAGUAAAGAUAUUCUCCGAGAGGAAGGUUUGCCGGGAUUUUGGAGAGGAAAUGUUCCAGCCCUGUUAAUGUAUAUGCCAUAUACAGCUAUACAAUUUACCGUUCUACACAAGCUCAAAACAUUUGCUUCUGGUUCAUCCAAAACAGAGGAUCAUUUGCACUUGAGUCCUUACCUCUCUUAUGUAAGUGGGGCUAUAGCAGGAUGUGCCGCAACUGUAGGAUCAUACCCAUUUGACCUUCUCAGGACUAUUCUUGCAUCACAGGGUGAGCCGAAGGUUUACCCUGACAUGAGGUCUGCAUUUAUUGAUAUAAUUCAAACCCGUGGUGUCCGAGGGCUUUAUGCCGGUCUAACUCCAACUCUUGUUGAAAUCAUACCAUAUGCUGGCUUGCAGUUUGGUUCAUAUGAUACGUUCAAACGGUCAAUGAUGGCAUGGAAUAGAUACCGAUAUUCACAUCUUCACUCAGGAAGUGAGAAUGAUUCAGUAUCAAGCUUUCAGUUAUUCCUUUGUGGAUUUGCAGCUGGAACAUUUUCAAAAGCUGCCUGUCACCCACUUGAUGUUGUGAAGAAAAGAUUUCAGAUUGAAGGAUUAAAACGGCAUCCAAGAUAUGGGGCACGAAUUGAGAGCAGCACAUACAAGGGCAUGUACCAUGCCCUAAAAGAGAUUGUUGCAAAGGAGGGGUAUGGGGGCCUUUAUAAAGGACUUUUUCCAUCUUUGGUGAAAUCGGCUCCUGCUGGUGCUGUGACAUUUGUGGCAUAUGAAUACAUCUCAGACUGGUUAGAGUCAAUACUGAUGUGACAAAUCGCCAUGCAGUGUUAUUCAUUUUCCUCCCUGUGUUGUGUUGUAUUGUCCUUAUUCUCUCGCUUUGCUGUUGCACACUUCAAUUAGUUUAAUCGAUUCAUUUGUGGAAGAGGUUGCCGUUCCUUUAGAUCUUGCAGUCCAUACAAGAUUUGAGGAGCCUACAAAACCUGCUGGAUGAGUAAUGCUCGAUAGGGAGCAAAGCUGGAGUUGAAUGAGUUCUUGGAUGAAUGAGGAGCCAUUGAGAUACCGUGAUAAGAGAACAGUGUCCACACUCUGAUCAUCUGUGAGGAUUUAAUUGUUUUGUCAUGACUGCAAGGUCGGAAGUUUCAAGUGCAUACAAUUCCUUAAGAGCUGAUACUUGUAAACUCUCGCGUAGAAUUAGCUACUGUCAUUUCUCUCCUUUUUUGCCCCAUUAACUAGCGCCUUGCAUUCGUUGAGAUGUAAAGGUUAGGCUGAGUAAAACUAAGGAAACUGUAGAGGCUGUGGCGCAUGAUAAAGGCCUGGAACGGCAGGCAUUUUUGUUAAGAUGAGAUUAUCUCACUCCUAUAUGUCCUUAAGUCACAAAAUGCAAUCAAUGUGAACUGUAAAGUAUUACAUGGUUAGUAGCUGAUCUGCCUUUAUCAUUCAUGCAAACUGUAACUCUCAAACUGGAAGUCGUGCUGGCUUCGUGAUGAGUACCAUUCCCUGCUGCUUUUACUGUGAGCAUAUGUU